AACGGCCAUACCAUGCUGAAUAUACCGGUUCUCGUUAGAUCACCGAAGUCAAACAUCAUUGGGCGCGGUCAGUACUUGGUGGGUGACCACCUGGAAACACCGCGUGCCGUU
rnacentral:rRNA from 1 species